GAUGAACGCUGGCGGCGUGCCUAAUACAUGCAAGUCGAGCGAACGGACGAGAAGCUUGCUUCUCUGAUGUUAGCAGCGGACGGGUGAGUAACACGUGGAUAACCUACCUAUAAGACUGGGAUAACUUCGGGAAACCGGAGCUAAUACCGGAUAAUAUUUUGAACCGCAUGGUUCAAAAGUGAAAGACGGUCUUGCUGUCACUUAUAGAUGGAUCCGCGCUGCAUUAGCUAGUUGGUAAGGUAACGGCUUACCAAGGCAACGAUGCAUAGCCGACCUGAGAGGGUGAUCGGCCACACUGGAACUGAGACACGGUCCAGACUCCUACGGGAGGCAGCAGUAGGGAAUCUUCCGCAAUGGGCGAAAGCCUGGCGGAGCAACGCCGCGUGAGUGAUGAAGGUCUUCGGAUCGUAAAACUCUGUUAUUAGGGAAGAACAUAUGUGUAAGUAACUGUGCACAUCUUGACGGUACCUAAUCAGAAAGCCACGGCUAACUACGUG
rnacentral:rRNA from 1 species